GUCUGACGGAGCACGCCGCGUGAGUGAUGAAGGUUUUCGGAUCGUAAAGCUCUGUUGUUAGGGAAGAACAAGUGCAAGAGUAACUGCUUGCACCUUGACGGUACCUAACCAGAAAGCCACGGCUAACUACGUGCCAGCAGCCGCGGUAAUACGUAGGUGGCAAGCGUUGUCCGGAAUUAUUGGGCGUAAAGGGCUCGCAGGCGGUUUCUUAAGUCUGAUGUGAAAGCCCCCGGCUCAACCGGGGAGGGUCAUUGGAAACUGGGAAACUUGAGUGCAGAAGAGGAGAGUGGAAUUCCACGUGUAGCGGUGAAAUGCGUAGAGAUGUGGAGGAACACCAGUGGCGAAGGCGACUCUCUGGUCUGUAACUGACGCUGAGGAGCGAAAGCGUGGGGAGCGAACAGGAUUAGAUACCCUGGUAGUCCACGCCGUAAACGAUGAGUGCUAAGUGUUAGGGGGUUUCCGCCCCUUAGUGCUGCAGCUAACGCAUUAAGCACUCCGCCUGGGGAGUACGGUCGCAAGACUGAAACUCAAAGGAAUUGACGGGGGCCCGCACAAGCGGUGGAGCAUGUGGUUUAAUUCGAAGCAACGCGAAGAACCUUACCAGGUCUUGACAUCCUCUGACAACCCUAGAGAUAGGGCUUUCCCUUCGGGGACAGAGUGACAGGUGGUGCAUGGUUGUCGUCAGCUCGUGUCGUGAGAUGUUGGGUUAAGUCCCGCAACGAGCGCAACCCUUGAUCUUAGUUGCCAGCAUUUAGUUGGGCACUCUAAGGUGACUGCCGGUGACAAACCGGAGGAAGGUGGGGAUGACGUCAAAUCAUCAUGCCCCUUAUGACCUGGGCUACACACGUGCUACAAUGGACAGAACAAAGGGCUGCGAGACCGCAAGGUUUAGCCAAUCCCACAAAUCUGUUCUCAGUUCGGAUCGCAGUCUGCAACUCGACUGCGUGAAGCUGGAAUCGCUAGUAAUCGCGGAUCAGCAUGC
rnacentral:rRNA from 1 species